rnacentral:rRNA from 1 species
UACGGAGGGUGCAAACGUUGCUCGGAAUCAUUGGGCGUAAAGCGCACGUAGGCGGUGUGUCGCGUCGGCCGUGAAAACCUGCAGCUUAACUGUGGGCUUGCGGUCGAUACGGGCAUCACUGGAGUUCGGCAGGGGAGACUGGAAUUCCUGGUGUAGCGGUGAAAUGCGCAGAUAUCAGGAGGAACACCGGUGGCGAAGGCGGGUCUCUGGGCCGAUACUGACGCUGAGGAGCGAAAGCGUGGGGAGCGAACAGG